rnacentral:rRNA from 1 species
ACAUUGCGCCCUCUGGUAUUCCGGAGGGCAUGCCAGUUUGAGCGUCGUU